UGAGUAACCUGCCCUUAACUCUGGGAUAAGCCUGGGAAACUGGGUCUAAUACCGGAUAUGACUCCUCAUCGCAUGGUGGGGGGUGGAAAGCUUUUUUGUGGUUUUGGAUGGACUCGCGGCCUAUCAGCUUGUUGGUGAGGUAAUGGCUCACCAAGGCGACGACGGGUAGCCGGCCUGAGAGGGUGACCGGCCACGCUGGGACUGAGACACGGCCCAGACUCCUACGGGAGGCAG
rnacentral:rRNA from 1 species